AUUGGUUUCAAAUAAGUGAUCGAUUGUGUGCGCUGGUGGAUUACAUAAAUUGGUGACGGUGAAGCGAGGUGGCAGGAUAAUGGAAUAUCCCGGGCAAAGACGAACAUCGGUAGCGCGGUCGCCGGAACAUCUCCUUAAUGAUACGCUCGACUUCAUGUCAGAUGGAGAGUGGGACACGGAUGACUUUCUGGUAGCUUCGUCUUCUUCUAAAAGAAUUACAACAGAUAGUGAUGAUGCAGAUACGUUUCAUUUGCCGUCAGACGAUGAGUGGGACUCAUAUGACAUACCGUAUGCUGGUAUUCAAAGCACUGGAUCCAGAACACAUGAACACGAGCAAAAAUCAUCCAACGGCAACUAUCAGAUCGAGCAGAUCGGUUAUGCAUAUCUAGUAGGCGCAGAAAUAAUCUGGUACUUGCUUUCAGUUGCAGCACUUGCGGAGCAGCAAAGUGUGACUCCAGAGCGAAUCCGCAGCCAUGACAACGAAGACACAGACAGCAAUGAUAGCCACAUUCCUUGUGGGCAGCAGAUCGAACCGGAAGAAGACAGCCAUCGUACAACGGAAGACGAAAAUCAUGAACAAAGCAGACAGCAGGACAGGCAGAGCGAGCCCGAUCAUUGGUUAAACGAUGGCUCAUUUGUUGACGGCUCUGAGGACAGUAACAGCAGUAACUCGAACAGGCAACACCGCGAAGGGCAUUGGUUUGGCAGUACGGAUGGCGAUCGUAGCUACUGGGCAUUCAAGUACAGCGAAACACGGGUAGUGCAUCGGGAAUGGUACAGCUGCUAUUGUAGGAGCAGCAGCAACGACAGCAGCACCAGCACCAGUAACAGCACUUGCGGCAAUAACAGCAACGCUACCAUAGAACGCACCAACAUGCACGGCGAACUGGAUCGUAAGUGGUUCAGAGAAGUCUGUGGCAGAAUGUUACUACCUGAUCACGGGCCAACUAACGCAAGGCAAGCCGAAGAUCUUGAUCAUGCCACUCGCGAACGGAACUGUGGUUCGAGUCGUCAGGAACGGGCGCUUCAGUUUCGGUCGUGUCCUUAUCCACAUCGGUAGAACGGGCAAAAAGGUGUGCAAAUAAGCAUCUCUACCAAGACGUAAAUAGUAAAAAGUGAGUUAAAAGUACUUACGUCACACUCUGGUUCAGUAGAAGAAUCACCUGUCAACGACCUCUUGGUAGACAAUGUUGCUUGUGGAGACACCUUCCUCGUCAGCGCGUUUCGGGUUCGUUAUCAGCACAGCAAUGUUCGCUCGUGAUGUCACCCGCGAGAGUGCAACGUAUAGCUGGCCAUGGGCGAAAACAUCUUGCGGCAUAUAUAGGCCCAAAUGGUGAAGCGAUUGCCCUUGCGACUUGUUGGUGGUCAUCGCAAAGCACACUUGCACCGGAAACUGUUUACGGCGGAUCUGGAACGGGUGACCCUUAUCGUUGCUGUCAUAGAAGAUCCGUGGAAGCAGGACGUCUUCGCCUCUCCGCGUGCCUGUCAGAAUUUUAGCGUGUAAACAGUUUCGCUUUAGGUCUACAAUUUGUAAACGCGUACCGUUACACAAUCCCAUGUCGGAAUUAAGAUUGCGCAAUAAAAGUACUGGUGCAAAUCGUUUCAGCCGCAAGCGAUGCACUGGGAUGCCGCUGA